rnacentral:rRNA from 1 species
AACGAACGCUGGCGGCAGGCCUAACACAUGCAAGUCGAGCGCGCCUUCGGGUGAGCGGCGGACGGGUGAGUAACGCGUGGGAAUAUGCCCUUCUCUACGGAAUAGUCCUGGGAAACUGGGGGUAAUACCGUAUACGCCCUUUGGGGGAAAGAUUUAUCGGGGAAGGAUUAGCCCGCGUUGGAUUAGGUAGUUGGUGGGGUAAUGGCCUACCAAGCCGACGAUCCAUAGCUGGUUUGAGUGGAUGAUCAGCCACACUGGGACUGAGACACGGCCCAGACUCCUACGGGAGGCAGCAGUGGGGAAUCUUAGACAAUGGGGGCAACCCUGAUCUAGCCAUGCCGCGUGAGUGAUGAAGGCCUUAGGGUUGUAAAGCUCUUUCAGCUGGGAAGAUAAUGACGGUACCAGCAGAAGAAGCCCCGGCUAACUCCGUG